GGUGGCGUUGGAGCCGGCGCGUCGCUGCUGGGUCCCCCGCUCAUCCAACGUUGCUUGCUCGCUCUUUCCCAGGUCGCUGAGGCUGGGUGAACUCAUGAACUUCGGUCUGCGGAAAUUCCUCAUGAUGUUUCGUCACCCUGCUGGGUAACAUCGCCACAACACACAGCAACCCGGAAUUACACAAAGCAAAACAGGAGCACUUACAUGGAGUUUUUAAAAGGAAUGGAUACCCAAAAAGCACAAUCCACUGUUACCUCCAUGACAGACCACAAGAAGAAGACACAACAUGGCCAGGCACACUAGUCACCCUACCAUAUAUUAGGGACAUAUCAGAGAUGACCACUAGACUACCCAGGCCCCCGAGGUAUCAGGGUAGCUCACAAACCAACAACCACCCUGUGACAGCUACUGACGAAUGGAAAGGACCCCAUACUCACAACUAGUAAAACUAAUGUAAUAUACAAAAUACUAUUCAAGGACUGUGAGAAACUUUACAUAGGCCAAACUGGAAGAUAACUGACAGUAAGGACACAUGGGCACCAACUAGCCACCAAGAGACAUGACCAAUUCUCAAUUGCCUCACUACACAUGGACAAAGAAGGGCACGAAUUUAACUGGGACAACACAUCCAUAAUAGCACAAGCCAAACAGAGACACCCGAGAGAAUUCUUGGAGGCCUGGCAUUCCACCCGGAAUUCUGUCAACAAAUACAUUGAACUGGACCUAAAUUAAAACCACUGAAGAACAAAACUGGAAGUAAUACCGAGCACCCCAGCAAACCAAGGCAUGUAAAAAACAAGCAGGACAGAACGCCAACGCUUCACCAGAGGCACACUGACUAGGUUGAUGAAACGUCUGCAAUCAAUCACACUGGCUCGGCAAGCAAGUCUGCAACCUCAUCCACAACCUGAGCCACAAAUCUUCUCAAAAACUCUAAACAGGAUCCAAACAAACAGAAAUUAGAUGAAUAAUCAAUUAAUCUCCUUUUGAUAAUGGUUUUCGGAGGCAUGUUCAUCAAGAUGCUACAUUCUGUAGAUACUGCAGGAAAUUUUAAUUUCUGGAAAGGAAGACACACUUCUGGUUCACAUCAUUUCCAAACCUUUGGCAAUGGAGCACCGGACAUAAAUAAAGAAACAAUAAUUGAGCUUUCAUUACAUCCUAAACUAUCAAUUUAAAUACACAAUAUGGUAUACUGUGGUCUGAGGUUAAGCAAGAUGCCUUUAUAACUGUAAUUGCUUGCCUGAAAUGUCAUGAUCCUCUCACAUUGUAAGGAAAAAUGCUGAUUUCAUGAUAUGUGAUAUUAAAGGUAUAACCUAUAA